UACGUAGGGUGCAAGCGUUACUCGGAAUCACUGGGCGUAAAGGGUGCGUAGGCGGCUUGUUAAGUUGGAUGUGAAAGCCCUCGGCUCAACCGAGGAACUGCGUCCAAAACUGGCGAGCUAGAGGAUGGUAGGGGACAGUGGAACUCCAGGUGGAGCGGUGAAAUGCGUAGAGAUCUGGAGGAACGCCGGUGGCGAAAGCGAUUGUCUGGGCCAUUCCUGACGCUGAGGCACGAAAGCCAGGGGAGCAAACGGG
rnacentral:rRNA from 1 species